rnacentral:rRNA from 1 species
UGAGGAAUAUUGGUCAAUGGACGAGAGUCUGAACCAGCCAAGUAGCGUGAAGGAUGACUGCCCUAUGGGUUGUAAACUUCUUUUAUAUGGGAAUAAAGUAUUCCACGUGUGGGAUUUUGUAUGUACCAUAUGAAUAAGGAUCGGCUAACUCCGUGCCAGCAGCCGCGGUAAUACGGAGGAUCCGAGCGUUAUCCGGAUUUAUUGGGUUUAAAGGGAGCGUAGGUGGAUUGUUAAGUCAGUUGUGAAAGUUUGCGGCUCAACCGUAAAAUUGCAGUUGAAACUGGCAGUCUUGAGUACAGUAGAGGUGGGCGGAAUUCGUGGUGUAGCGGUGAAAUGCUUAGAUAUCACGAAGAACUCCGAUUGCGAAGGCAGCUCACUAGACUGCAACUGACACUGAUGCUCGAAAGUGUGGGUAUCAAACAGG